CCGGAAUUCGCACCCAUCCAACGUGUGGCAGGAGCGGGGGAACCAGGUAGUUCGCCGUGCGGGAAUUCCCGUACGGCUAGGGGUGAAGUCGCGUCAACCACGCGGCCGGACAGCUCCAGUCCGAACCCGACAGCUCACCUCGCAGGCGCCGGAGAGGAAUU
rfam:Streptomyces thermolilacinus SPC6 TNC:Contig_1, whole genome shotgun sequence.